CGCUGCCCCGACCUGCCCAUAGAAUCCCCGACUCCCAGGAGGUGAAAUUGCCAGACUGGCCAGGUCCGUACCGGACCCCUGGCAGCCCUGCCCGACUCUGUUAGCCCCCUGAGUCCGCGUGUUCAAGAUCUUGGCCUCGUGGUUUGGAGCAGAGCUGGGGGCGAGGGGAUCUCUGCUGACUGCCCACCGUGUCUGAGACACCUCUGAACAGCCCCUUUCGUCCUGUCAGUCGUAGCAGGGGUGGCUCUUAGGAAGUCCUGGGGCUUCCCUCACUGGCAGGGGGUGACCAGGUGAUUUUCCGUGGAAGGGGAGAGUGGGAAACAGAAUUCCCACCCCAAGCGGAGUCUAUAAAACCAUGGGAAGUUAGCUGCCUCUUUCUUUCCCUGGCAUGUCAUUUCCAAGAGACAGCUGCGGGUGGCGGUCUUGUCACAGCCCAGCUCCUCGAGCCAAAUCCUUAGGGAAAGCCUGGAAUUACAACCCACACACAUUCAAUUCACAUGCUAAUGGACUCAAUCCUGACUGAGGUUGGCAGGGACUCGACCACCGACGGCUCUAGAAGCUCUCUGGGCGGCAUCCUUCCUACCCUAGCCAUCUGUCUACUGACUUGGGUUUUUAUCUGCUUGGGUUUAAGUGCCCAUUCUCCAGAUACUUAUAGAAAACAGGAAGGGGGGUGGGAGACAGAGAGACAGAGCCCCAUUCUCUUCCCCCUCCCCGCUUCCCUUCUAUUCAUUUCCAGUUUUCAUGUCCCCUACUCAGAGCUCCCGUCAUCUGAAGAAGUGGGCGGUGCCCACGAACGCUCUUGAGCCCAUCUCCAUGUUCUGUUAGUCUGUAAAGUGCUACCAGGCCAUUGGUGGUUGGUUUUUUGCUGUCACUUGUCUUCCUGUGAACGAGAACGGAAGGAAGAGCAGCCUCACCACAUUUCUUCCUCGGAUGACUCUGCCCCACCCCCACAUACAGCCCCGACACUGGGCCUCAGAGAAGCAGGUGGCUGGUGCCUCUCCAGACCCUGCCCCACUGCAGUGCUGGGGGUCUCUGGGGAGGCGGGUGGGGGUCCUGGGCAAGGGAGGCCCCUGGGGGUUCAUUGGCAGGUGGUUUCCCGGGGCUGGAGGGAGGGAAAGGGGCGGAUGGGGGCAGAUCCUGUCACCUCCCUGCCCCCAGCAGAAGCAGCCGUGGCC